rnacentral:rRNA from 1 species
GACGAACGCUGGCGGCGUGCUUAACACAUGCAAGUCGAACGAUGAAGAAGAGAAACGCGAACUUCGGUUCAACUUUCACUUCGGAUUAGUGGCAGACGGGUGAGUAACGCGUGAGCAACCUACCUCUUACAUAGGGAUAGCCUCGGGAAACCGUGAUUAAUACCAUAUGACACAUUCAUAAGGCAUCUUAAGAAUGUUAAAGCUACGGCGGUAAGAGAUGGGCUCGCGUCCCAUCAGCUAGUUGGUGAGGUAACGGCCCACCAAGGCGAGGAUGGGUAACCGGGCUGAGAGAGUGAACGGUCACAUUGGAACUGAGACACGGUCCAAACUCCUACGGGAGGCAGCAGUGGGGAAUAUUGCACAAUGGAGGGAACUCUGAUGCAGCGACGCCGCGUGAGCGAUGAAGGAAUUCGUUUCGUAAAGCUCUGUUCUAUGGGAAGAAAAGGACUGUACCAUAGGAGAAAGCCCCGGCUAAAUACGUG